CCGCUACCUUCGAGCUCGAGGAGGCUGGUCACAGGCCUAGAAAUAAACAUGCCCGUACCAGCGAUUUUGUGUUAUAUUGUCUUAUUUCACAAUGCUUCAUCCAUCUUAUCAGUUGAAUGAUAAUACUUCUUUGUUGCUUUCCUCAGUUAAGACAAGAGAUGUAGAACUCAACUGGGUUGAACAAGCUUGAAGAUAAUUUUCUGAAUUUGAUCUUAUACUGAGAUAAUGUUGUUUGGCCGGAAUCGGAGAUGAACAUGGCGAAGGCGAGCAGCAAGGAGAAGCAGCCCCCAGGAGCUCCUGGGCAGCGAGGAAGAGGAUCGAGCGAAUCGCGAUCUAGGGAUCAUGGAGUGAACCUAGACGAAUAUUGUGUGCGGAGGAGCACGUCGGAGCAAAAUUGUAAUAUGAGCAAAACUGUAAUUACUGUUCAGUUUAAAUACAAUUAUAUAGAGAAACUUUGGAUCGUAUAGAAUAAAGAGCGUAUAGAAUAAAUAGUGAAUUUGUUUUUAUUCUAUA